AAAAAGACAAAUCCUAGGUUUCCGUGUCCAACAUUUGACUAUUCGUCUUAUAUGAAAUUUUUUUAUAAUUAGUAUUUUUAUUGUUGUUAGAUGAUAAAACAUGAUUAAUACUUUAUGCGUGACUUGUCUUUUUAAUUUUUUUCAUAAUUUUUUUCAAAUAAGACGGACGGUCAAACGUUGAACACGGAAACCCAGGGUUUGUCUUUUU
rfam:Oryza sativa (indica cultivar-group) chromosome 11, whole genome shotgun sequence.